GCCUCGAUAGUCUAGUGGUUAUGAUUUUGCACUUGUAUGGGUUUUACGAUUCCAUGGAGGCAAAUGCAAGGGUCGGGCGUUCAAAUCGCCCUCGAGGCA